UACCAGCACCCCGAGUGGUCGGGACGUUUUAUUGGGCCUAAAGCAUCCGUAGCCGGUUCUACAAGUCUUCCGUUAAAUCCAACUGCUUAACAGGUGGGCUGCGGAAGAUACUAUAGAGCUAGGAGGCGGGAGAGGCAAGCGGUACUCGAUGGGUAGGGGUAAAAUCCGUUGAUCCAUUGAAGACCACCAGUGGCGAAGGCGGCUCACUGGCCCGGUACUGACGCCGAGGUGCGAAAGCGUGGGGAGCAAACAGG
rnacentral:rRNA from 1 species